ACCCGAACCCUCAGGGGGCGCGAUCCCCGCUUGUGUUGCAUGUUAUCCCGCCCCCUCCCAUGGGCGUGUCGGGCUCACUGACACCGGCCUCACCCAGGAGUCACCCCCUCCCCCUCCUUUACAAGCCCCGCCUGCCACUCUUUUUCCGCCACUUCCGGCCAGGGCCACUUAGCCUCUUGCAUCACCAAUCACGCGGCAGCGGCGGCGGCAGCGCACAAUUAGUCAGCGCCGCGCCUCUCCGCUGGGUGGUCAUGUUCAUUACACGGCCGGCGAGGGGAGAGAGAGGGCCCUGCAACACCAUACACCCUCUCCUCUCACCCCUCCUCACCCUCUUCCCCUCUUCCAGCCCCCCCCCCACCCUUCUCCCCUCUCCCAGCUCACACUUGUCACCCCAUUAAAAUCAGUCUGCCCCUCGCCUCGCCUCGCCGCGGGCCACCAGCUGCAGGGUGGGGGGGAGAGGGUUGUGGGGGGCUGUGGUGAUUUAUCAGGAUAUUAAGCGGCUGGAAGAGCGGCGAAAGGCGAUCCAAUCUUGCUGCCGCUGAUCAGGAUGGGAUGGGAUGGCAAGGGGGUGGGGGGUUGAAGGGGGAGGGGAGGGAAGCAAGGGUUCACAACGACCACAAUGCAGCGUGUUUCUACUAGGCCAAAAAAGGGGGGAGGGGGGGCGUUAAUUAGCAUACAGGUGUGUGUGUGUGUGUGUGUGUGUGUGUGUGUGUGUGUGUGUAGUUAAAUGUUACGUGAAAUUACUCCUGUGUUCGUGCGUGUUGGUUCUUUUCUUAUCAUUUUUAUUCCUAUUAUUAUCUUUUUUUAUUGUCCUCCAUCUGUUGUAUAUUUUAUUUCCUGGACUGAUGCUCAUUUUAUUUUUUAUUUUAUUUUCUUCCUGUUGUCUUUUCCUUUCCUGUCUUGUCUUUUCCUUUUUUCUUGUCCGGUUUUUUCCUUUCCCUUCCUGUCUUUUCCUUUCCUGUCCUGUUCUAUCUUUUCCUUUCCUUUCCUUUCCUGUCUUCCUUUCUUUUCCUUUCCUUUCCUUUCCUUUCUUUUCCUUUCCUGUUUCUUCCUUUCCUGUCCUGUUCUAUCUUUUCCUUUCCUUUCCUGUCUUCCUUUCCUUUCCUUUCCUUUCCUGUCCUGUCUUUUCCUUUCCUUUCCUGUCUUCCUUUCCCUUCCGUUCCUUUCCUUUCCUUUCCUGUCCUGUCCUGUCUUUUCCUUUCCUGUCCUGUCUUUUCCUUUCCUUUCCUUUCCUUGCCUCACGGAACCACUUGCCAUGAUCGCUUUCACAUCUGCCGGAAUAACACUUCAACCCUCCACUCCCUCCCCCCUAACCUCCCCCUGCCUCUUCCCUCCCCCCUUAACCCCCCUCUAUCUCUCCCCCUUCCCUCUUACCUCCCUCUGCCUGUUUCCUCCAUCCUUCUCCUUCCUUGUUCCCCCCCCCCCACACCCUAUUUUGAGUGCGGUUAUGUUUCUCCUUUAAUUUCCUUUCCUUUCUCUUACUUUCUUUUCAUAAAAACAUAAGAACAUAAGAACGUAAGGAGUCUGCAAGAGGCCGGUUGGCGUAUACAAGGCAGCUCCUGUACACUCAACCCCACCUUACCUCACCAUCCAUGGCUUUAUCUAACCUCUUCUUGAAUGUAUCUAUGGUGUUGGCGCUCACAACAUGGCUCCCAAGCCUGUUCCAUUCAUCUACCACUCUAUUGGUGAACCAAUUCUUGCCUAUGUCUUUGUUGAAUCUGAAUUUGUCUAACUUGAAACCAUUGCUACGCGUUCUACCUGGCUCUUUUACUAUCAAAAUCUUAUUGACAUCCCCUUUGUUAAAGCUCUUCAUCCAUUUAUAGACUUCGAUCAAGUCUCCUCGCAACCUUCGCCUUUCUAGAGAGUGUAAAUUUAACUGCUUCAGCCUGUCUUCAUAAGGCAAGUUUCUCACCCCCUGAAUCAUCUUUGUCAUCCUCCUCUGUACAGAUUCUAACAUCUUGAUAUCCAUUCUAUAGUAGGGGGACCAGAACUGAACUGCAUAAUCGAGAUGAGGUCUAACUAGUGCUAAGUAAAGUUUGAGGAUGACUUCAGCGCUCCUAUUGCUCACGCCCCUUGAGAUGAAACCUAGUACUCUGUUUGCCCGAUUUUUAGCCUGAAUGCAUUGAGCCCUAGGACGGAGGUCAGCGCUCACUAGGACUCCUAAGUCUCUCUCACGCCCAGACCUGCUUAGAGGAGUGCCAUUUAGGGAGUAAUUGUGUGAGGGAUUAUUCCUACCUACACUCAGAAUGCUACACUUCCCGACAUUGAAUUCCAUCUGCCACUUCCCCGCCCAAUCAUAUAGUCUGUCAAGCUCAUCCUGGAGAACGCUAGCGUCCCUGUCUGAUUGGAUUACUCUACCGAUCUUGGUAUCAUCUGCGAACUUACUGACAUCACUGCUAAUUCCUGUGUCCAAUCCUCCUCUUUCUGUCUUCCCCUUGCCCCUCUUCCCCCUUCUUUCGCCACUUUUUUAUUUUAUUUAGGAGGUUGCAUUUUUCUUUUCAUUCCUCUCCUCCUUUCCUUUUCUUUCCUCUACUUUCCUUUCUCUUACCUUCCUCCUCUUCCUUUCCUCCUUCGUUUCCGCUUUCAACUUCUCCUCCUCCUCCUGCUCCUCCUCCUCCUCUUCCACUUCACAUUCUCAUUCAUCUCAUCUUUCGUUUAUUUCCACUUCCUCCUACUCUUCCCCUUCUUCCUCCUCCUCCUCCUCCAACUCUUGCUCCUCACAGUUAAAUAAUGUUCGCCAAUAUCAGUGAAGGAUGUUAAAAUAGAAAAGGAAAACGAAGAAUGUAAGAAGCUUAUCAUUGGCGAGCAAAAAAGAAAUAGAAUAAUAAUGAAAAGAAAUUGACGUGGGUAGGAACGAAAAGUGGAUAAGUAGGAAGAGAAGUGUGGUAGGUAGAAAAAAAAUGUGGUAGGUAGGAAGAAAGGUGAAUAGGUAGGAAUGAAAGUGUGAUAGGAAGAAAACUGUGGUAGGUAGGAAGACAAGUGUGGUAGGUAGGAAGAAAAAUGUGGUUGAUAGGAAGACAAGUGUGGUAGGUAGGAAGAAAAGUGGGUAAGUAGGAAAAAUUGUGUGGAAUGGAAGAAAAAAGUAUGUAAGUAGAAAGAAAAGUAGAGUAAGUAGGAACCAAAGGAAAUAAAAACAACAACGCCAAUUAACACACACACACACACACACACACACACACACACACACACACACACACACACACACACACACACACACACACGAGGAUAAAAGAGUUAAAAAAAAAAGGAAAAGAAAAAAAGAC